UAAAAACAUAGGACUCUGCGUAAGGUGCAAACCGAAGUAUAGGGUCUGACGCCUGCCCGGUGCUGGAAGGUUAAAGGGAAGAGUUAGCCGCAAGGCGAAGCUUAGAACUGAAGCCCCAGUAAACGGCGGCCGUAACUAUAACGGUCCUAAGGUAGCGAAAUUCCUUGUCGGGUAAGUUCCGACCUGCACGAAUGGCGUAACGAUUUGGGCGCUGUCUCGACGAGAGACCCAGUGAAAUUGUAGUACCGGUCAAGAUGCCGGUUACCCGUGGCGGGACGGAAAGACCCCAUGGAGCUUUACUGUAGCCUGGUACUGACGUUUGACCUUACACGUACAGGAUAGGUGGGAGACUGAGAAUACAGAUCGUUAGAUUUGUAGGAGUCGAUGUUGGGAUACCACCCUUGUGAUGUUGAACGUCUAACGCAUAGCACUGAAGCGUGAAUGCGGACCCUGCCAGGUGGGCAGUUUGACUGGGGCGGUCGCCUCCUAAAGAGUAACGGAGGCGCGCAAAGGUCAACUCAGGGCGGAUGGAAAUCGCCCAGAGAGCGUAAGGGUAUAAGUUGGCUUGACUGCGAGAGUGACAAUUCGAGCAGAGACGAAAGUCGGUCCUAGUGAUCCGGCGGUGCUGAGUGGAAAGGCCGUCGCUCAUCGGAUAAAAGCUACCCUGGGGAUAACAGGCUGAUCUCCCCCGAGAGUUCCCAUCGACGGGGAGGUUUGGCACCUCGAUGUCGGCUCGUCGCAUCCUGGGGCUGUAGCAGGUCCCAAGGGUUGGUCUGUUCGCCCAUUAAAGCGGUACGUGAGCUGGGUUUAAAACGUCGUGAGACAGUUUGGUCCCUAUCCGCCACGGGCGCAAGAUAUUUGAGAGGAGCUGCUCCUAGUACGAGAGGACCGGAGUGGACGCACCGCUAGUGUACCGGUUGUGUUGCCAGACGCAGAAGCCGGGUAGCCAUGUGCGGCAGGGAUAACCGCUGAAGGCAUCUAAGUGGGAAGCCCCCCUCGAGAUGAGAUAUCUCACAACGGAAGGUUGGUAAGGCGUCCCUGAGACGAAGGGAUAGAUAGGUCGGGAGUGUAAGAGCCGCGAGGUUUUUAGCUGACCGAUACUAAUACGCCGAGGCCUUUUCCU
rnacentral:rRNA from 1 species